rnacentral:rRNA from 1 species
AUUGAACGCUGGCGGCAUGCUUUACACAUGCAAGUCGAACGGUAACAGGCCGCAAGGUGCUGACGAGUGGCGAACGGGUGAGUAAUGCAUCGGAACGUGCCCAGCCGUGGGGGAUAACGCACCGAAAGCUGUGCUAAUACCGCAUACGAUCUAGGGAUGAAAGCGGGGGCCCGUAAGGCCCACCGCGAUGGGGACGGCCGAUGUCAGAUUAGGUAGUUGGUGGGGUAAAGGCUCACCAAGCCAACGAUCUGUAGCUGGUCUGAGAGGACGACCAGCCACACUGGGACUGAGACACGGCCCAGACUCCUACGGGAGGCAGCAGUGGGGAAUUUUGGACAAUGGGCGCAAGCCUGAUCCAGCAAUGCCGCGUGCAGGAAGAAGGCCUUCGGGUUGUAAACUGCUUUUGUACGGAACGAAAAGGUUUGGGUUAAUACCCUGGGCCGAUGACGGUACCGUAAGAAUAAGCACCGGCUAACUACGUGCCAGCCGCCGCCGUAA